GCAGAGGGUUGGGUGACUGGGUGACGGGCACUGAGGGCGGCACUUGACAGGAUGAGCACUGGGUGUUAUGCUAUAUGUUGGCAAAUUGAACUCCAAAUAAAAAAUACAAAAAACAAACAAACAAAAAAAGCAUCUCAAAGGCCUCGGUGGGUGUUGACACAUGUGAUUUCUGCUCAGUGCUCUGAAUGUCAGAGUAAAGAAGUUCAAUGAAGUGUGGGUAAAUGGCAGCAGUAAUAGGACUCUCUUAAGGUAGCUAAACCCCGGUCAUCAAAUUAGUGAUGGGAAUGAAUUGGUGAAUGAGAUUCCCACUGUCCCUACCUACUGUCUAGCGGAACCACAUCCAAAGGAAUGGGCUUGGUGGAAUCAGUGGGGAAAGAAGACCCUGUUGACCUUGACUCCUCUCUGGCACGAUGAAGAGACAUGAGGGUUGUAGAAUAAGUGGGAGGCCUCUGUUGCUCCUCUGUCCCUGUGAGGGGGCACAGGUCCGCUGGCCUUGCCGGCUGCUGGUGAAAUACCACUACUCUUACUGUUUUUUCACUGACACAUGAGGCGAGGUGUAGGAAGGGAGAAAACUUAGGCAGCUCAGCUCCACUUGCUCCGGGGACAGUGACAGGUGGGGAGUUUGACUGGGGCCGUACACCUGUCAAACGGUAACUGCACGUGUCCUAAGGUGACCUCACAGAGGACAGAAACCUCCCAUGCAGCAGAACAGCAAAAGCUCGCUGGAUCUUGAUUUUCAGUUCGAACACAGACUGUGAAAGUGCGGCCUCACAAUCCUGACCUUUUGGGUUUUAAGCAGGAGGUGUCAGAAAAGUUACCACAGUGGUAACUGGCUUGUGGUGGCCAAGAGUUCACAGCAGCCUCAAUUUUUGAUCCUUCAGUGUGGGCUCUUCCUAUCAUUGUGAAGCAGAAUUCACCAAGGGUUGGGUUGUUUGUUCACUAAUAGAGAACGUGAGCUGGGCUUCGAUCAUGGUGAGACAGGUUAGUUUUACCCUAUUGAUGAUGUGUUGUUGCCAUGGAAAUCAUGUUCAGUACAGUGGAACCACAGGCUCAGACAUUUGGUGUAUGUGCUUGGCUGAGGAGGCAAGGGGCGGAACCUGUCAUCUAUAGGAUUAGGACUAAAAAGGCCUCUAAGUCUGAAUCCCACCCAGGCGGAACCAGACAGCAGCACCGAGGUGCCUGGUUGGCCUCUGAGAGUCAGUUCU
rnacentral:rRNA from 1 species